AGAGUUUGAUCCUGGCUCAGGAUGAACGCUAGCGGCAGGCUUAAUACAUGCAAGACGAACGGUAAGUUGAGUAGCAAUACUUGACCUAGAGUGUCGCACGGGUGCGUAACACGUAUGCAACCUACCCAUAACAGGAGGAUAGCUCCCCGAAAGGGGAAUUAACCCUCCAUAGUAAUAUUGAAUGGCAUCAUUUGAUAUUUAAAACUCCGGUGGUUAUGGAUGGGCAUGCGUCUGAUUAGUUAGUUGGCGGGGUAAUGGCCCACCAAGACGAUGAUCAGUAGGGGAACUGAGAGGUUGAUCCCCCACACUGGCACUGAGAUACGGGCCAGACUCCUACGGGAGGCAGCAGUAGGGAAUAUUGGUCAAUGGAUGGAAGUCUGAACCAGCCGUGGCGCGUGCAGGAAGAAGGCCUUAUGGGUUGUAAACUGCUUUUGCCAGGGGAUAAAAUAGCUGUGCGCAGCGAAUUGCAGGUACCUGGUGAAUAAGCCACGGCUAACUACGUGCCAGCAGCCGCGGUAAUACGUAGGUGGCAAGCGUUGUCCGGAUUUAUUGGGUUUAAAGGGUGCGUAGGCGGCCCUGUAAGUCAGUGGUGAAAUACUCCAGCUUAACUGGAGGGGUGCCAUUGAUACUGCAGGGCUUGAGUGGAGUAGAAGUAGGCGGAAUUGACGGUGUAGCGGUGAAAUGCUUAGAUAUCGUCAAGAACACCGAUAGUGAAGACAGUUUACUAGGCUUCUACUGACGCUGAGGCACGAAAGUGUGGGGAUCAAACAGGAUUAGAUACCCUGGUAGUCCACACUGUAACGUUGAUUACUCGCUGUUGGCGAUACACUGCCAGCGGCCAGCGCAAGCGAUAAGUAAUCCACCUGGGGAGUACGC
rnacentral:rRNA from 1 species